rnacentral:rRNA from 1 species
GAUGAACGCUAGCUACAGGCUUAACACAUGCAAGUCGAGGGGAAACGAUAUUGGAAGCUUGCUUCCGAUAGGCGUCGACCGGCGCACGGGUGAGUAACGCGUAUCCAACCUGCCCACCACUUGGGGAUAACCUUGCGAAAGUAAGACUAAUACCCAAUGAUAUCUCUAGAAGACAUCUGAAGGAGAUUAAAGAUUUAUCGGUGAUGGAUGGGGAUGCGUCUGAUUAGCUUGGUGGCGGGGUAACGGCCCACCAAGGCGACGAUCAGUAGGGGUUCUGAGAGGAAGGUCCCCCACAGUGGAACUGAGACACGGUCCAAACUCCUACGGGAGGCAGCAGUGAGGAAUGUUGGUCAAUGGACGAGAGUCUGAACCAGCCAAGUAGCGUGCAGGAUGACGGCCCUAUGGGUUGUAAACUGCUUUUAUAAGGGAAUAAAGUGAGCCUCGUGAGGCUUUUUGCAUGUACCUUAUGAAUAAGGACCGGCUAAUUCCGUGCCAGCCGCCGCCGUAA